GUUAAUAUGGUAUGGCAAC
rnacentral:miRNA from 1 species